CAACUCUGUCCCGGGAGAGAGCAGCCUUCGAGGCUGCCGCCGAAGGCGCAACCGCCCCGGAAACGCUCAGGCAAAAGGACCGGACAGGGUCA
rfam:Hyphomonas sp. BRH_c22 BRHa_1003099, whole genome shotgun sequence.